UUCGAUUAUGGCUCAGAUUGAACGCUGGCGGGAUGCUUUACACAUGCAAGUCGAACGGCAGCACGGACUUCGGUCUGGUGGCGAGUGGCGAACGGGUGGGUAAUGUAUCGGAACGUGCCUAGUAGCGGGGGAUAACUACGCGAAAGCGUAGCUAAUACCGCAUACGCCCUUCGGGGAAAGCGGGGGACCUUCGGGCCUCGCACUAUUAGAGCGGCCGAUAUCGGAUUAGCUAGUUGGUGGGGUAACAGCUCACAAGGCGACGAUCCGUAGCGCUGGUUUGAGGAGGACGACCAGCCACACUGGGACUGAGACACGGCCCAGACUCCUACGGGAGGCAGCAGUGGGGAAUUUUGGACAAUGGGGAAACCCUGAUCCAGCCAUCCCGCGUGUGCGAUGAAGGCCUUCGGGUUGUAAAGCACUUUUGGCAAGGAAAGAAACGGCACGGGAUAAUACCCCGUGCAACCCGUACCUACAGGGCAGCACCGGCUAACUACGUGCCAGCAGCCGCGGUAAUACGUAGGGUGCAAGCGUUAAUCGGAAUUACUGGGCGUAAAGCGUGCGCAGGCGGUUCGGAAAGAAAGAUGCUGAAAUCCCAGAGCUUAACUUUGGAACUGCAUUUUUAACUACCGAGCUAGAGUGUGUCAGAGGGAGGUGGAAUUCCGCGUGUAGCAGUGAAAUGCGUAGAUAUGCCGGAGGAACACCGAUGGCGAAGGCAGCCUCCUGGGAUAACACUGACGCUCAUGCACAAAAGCGUGAGACAGAAACAGGAUUAGAUACCCUGGUAGUCCACGCCUAAACGAUGUCAACUAGCUGUUGGGCCUUCGGGCCUUGGUAGCGCAGCUAACGCGUGAAGUUGACCGCCUGCAGGAGUACGGUCGCAAGAUUAAAACUCAAAGGAAUUGACGGGGACCCGCACAAGCGGUGGAUGAUAUGGAUUAAUUCGAUGCAACGAAAAACCUUACCUACCCUUGACAUGUCUGGAAUCCCGAAGAGAUUUGGGAGUGCUCGCAAGAGAACCGGAACACAGGUGCUGCAUGGCUGUCAUCGCUCGUGUCGUGAGAUGUUGGGUUAAGUCCCGCAACGAGCGCAACCCUUGUCAUUAGUUGCUACGAAGAGGCACUCUAAUGAGACUGCCGGUGACAAACCGGAGGAAGGUGGGGAUGACGUCAAGUCCUCAUAGCCCUUAUGGGUAGGGCUUCACACGUCAUACAAUGGUCGGGACAGAGGGUCGCCAACCCGCGAGGAGCCAAUCCCGAAACCCGAUCGUAGUCCGGAUCGCAGUCUGCAACUCGACUGCGUGAAGUCCGGAAUCGCUAGUAAUCGCGGAUCAGCAUGUCGCGGUGAAUACGUUCCCGAGGUCUUGUACACCGCCCGUCACACCAUGGGAGUGGGUUUACCAGAAGUAGUUAGCUUAACCGUAAGGGCGAUUACCACGGUAGGAUUCAUGACUGGGGUGAAGUCGUAACAAAGGUAA
rnacentral:rRNA from 1 species